ACACUGCUUGGUGGAUGGCUUGGCUUGGGAGCCGAUGAAGGGCGUGGCAAGCUGCGAUAAGCCCCGGGUAGGUGCAGGCAACCGUGGAUCCGGGGAUCCCCGAAUGGGACUUCCUGGCCAAGGCUAAUACCCUUGGUCGCUCCCGGUAGGGAGUGGGAACGCGCGGAACUGAAACAUCUUAGUACGCGCAGGAAGAGAAAUCAAUAGAGAUUCCCUGAGUAGCGGCGAGCGAAACGGGAAUAGGGCAAACUGAACCCCUGCGGGAAAACUGCAGGGGGAUGUAGUGUUUUGGGCCCGGCUGCCACCUCCUCAAGGAAGCCGAAUACUGCUGGAAAGCCGAACCGUAGAGGGUGAUAGUCCCGUAGGCGUAACUUGAGAGGUGUUGAGCUGGGACCCCAGAAUAGCGUGGGCUGGUUAUCCCGCGUGAAGUUGGGAGCCAUCAACUUCCAACCCUAAAUACUCCCCAAGACCGAUAGCGUAAUAGUACCGUGAGGGAAAGCUGAAAAGGACCUCGAAAGAGGAGUGAAAAGAGCCUGAAACCAAGCAGUCAUACUCGGGUGUGGCUCGUAAGGGUAGAUUCUCUUCGAAGGAACCCAGGGCAACCUGGUACUCCGAGAAGAGAGGACCAGAGUUACACCAUCCGUCUCGAAACACGGGCCGGGGAGUUCACGAUCAUGGCGAGCUUAAGAAGAUUACCUUCGUAAGCAUAGGGAAACCGAGCGACCGCAGAUAGAUUCCCUUCUCGUGGCCAACGUAUUGGCGACGUGUGUCUCUCACGAGAUGCAGCGCCCCUCGAGGGCCGCCGCCUCUACUAUUAACCACGAGAAGUAUCUAUCCAGGGUCCAGGUCUGAAAGGGCCUGUCAAGUCAUGGUCGUGAGACCCGAAACCGAGCGAUCUAGGCCUGGGUAGGGUGAAGGCAGGCGAAAGCCUGGUGGAGGCCCGAAUGGAUUCUGACGUGCAAUUCGUCCUAAUGACCUGGGUCUAGGGGCAAAAGACCAAUCCUAUUGAGAACCCGGUAACUCCCUCCCUUUCACUACACUUAUUAAAUGAGUAAGAAACUCUUUGAGGAAUCUAAUCCUGUCAAAUUCAAAAUUUAAACUACUAUUUAUAGAGCCUAUUAAGGGUAAAAGAAGUCUCGAAAGAGAAUCACAAUGAAUGAGUUACCGUUUAUCCUCUCAAUAGGGGUCAAUAAAAGGCAGGGUGCGCCCCUCCUUUUGGGAUCUAGCUCGGUUAUAGCUGGUUCCCUCCGAAGUAGGUCGUAGCCUAGUCUGGCUGGAGGUGGCUGGUGAGGUAGAGCACUGAUUGGGAAGCACGGGGUCGAAAGGCCUCACUUCCUUUUCAAACUCCGAAUUUGCCAGCGCCUGAGAAGGCUGGAAACGGGCGUCAGGGGGUAAGCCCCUGAGCCGAGAGGGGAACAACCCAGACUGAGGUUAAGGCCCCUAAAUGCCGGCUAAGUGCUAAACUAAAGGGCGUUCGAAUCCUAAAACAGCGGGGAGGUAGGCUUAGAAGCAGCCACCCUUUAAAGAAAGCGUAACAGCUCACCCGCCGAGGAUUUGGGCCCCGAAAAUGGACGGGGCUAAAGCCGGCUGCCGAGACCUCAGGGCACGGUCGACGCCGACCGUGAUCCGGUAGGAGGGCGUGCCGAUUGGGCAGAAGUUGGGUCGUGAGAUCCAAUGAACCGAUCGGCAUUGCAGAUCCCGGUGGUAGUAACAGCAAAGCUAGGUGGGAAUCCUAGCCGCCGAAAGACUGUAAAUAGGCCAUACACCCCAUUUUUUUAACAAACUCCAUAAAUUGAAAAUUAUUGAUAACAUUCCAUACUCCUUAAAUACAGAUAUCCCAAAUUCACCUUAUCGCGAAAAGCGGGAUACUGUAUCAUUAACAAUCCAUGCAACUGAUUGGAAUAAAGAAAUUUUAUGGAAAAAAAUUAAAUCAACAAUUCCGCGAAAAUUAAUCCGGAUAAAAAAUGCCUAUUUAUAGUCCGGCAUGGGGCAAGGGUUCCUCGGCAAUGCGUCGUCAGCCGAGGGUUAGCCGGUCCUAAGGUGGCCCGCAAUCCGGUCCCACCGAAAGGGAAACCGGUUUAUAUUCCGGUGCUACGCAGGUACGCGCGGCAACGCUAAGCCUCGUUUCCGACGCUUCGGGGUAGGCUUUGCAGGGUUAUCGCCUUGCCUAAGUGUAUAAUUCUGGGGAGUACCGUAAUGGUGAGAACCAGAAGAAAGCACGAAUGGCCAGCCGCUAGAGGCAGGUAAAGUCGAUCCCUGGAGCCCAUGAAAAGGAAACGGGGAAGGAUCCUGCGUAUCCGUACCCAGAACCGACACUGGUGCCCCUAGCUGAGAAGGCUCAGGCGUGUCGGGGAUAACCGUGGCAAGGGAAUUCGGCAAAUUGGUCCCGUAACCUUGGGAUAAGGGAUGCUGGGGGUCUUGAGCUGAUACUCGGGACCCUCAGUCGCAGAGACCCUCCCUUUGUCGUAGAAACAGAGGGCUGCACACCAAGGGGGCCCGACUGUUUCGGUAUAUGCCGUGGUAUAUGCCGCAGGAAUAAUAAAAACAUAGCUAGCCGCCAGCGGGAAACCGUGUGUACGGCUAGUGAAUCCUGGCCAGUGGCGGUCAGUCAAUACCGGGUCCAACCGGAGUAAGCUCCGCUAAACGCCGGGAGUAACUAUAACUCUCUUAAGGUAGCCAAAUGCCUUGCCGGACAAGUACCGGCGUGCAUGAAUGGAUCAACGUAGUCCCCGCUGUCCCUGCCGCGAACCCGGUGAACCCACCUUCCGGCGAACAGUCCGGAGAGACCCAGCGGGAAGAGAAGACCCUGUGGAGUUUUACUGCAGCCUGUGCCUGUGGUAAGGUUGUGGAUACGUAGGAUAGUCAGGAGCCGUCGAGCUCAGCUCUCCGGGGCUGAGGGAGGCGCCCUUGAAAUACUGACUAUUCACGAUUUUACCUCUAACCGUGCUUCGGCACGGGACAAGUGCAGGUGGGCAGUUUGGCUGGGGCGGCACAUCCUUGAAAAGGUAUCAAGGAUGCCCAAAGGUCAGCUCAGUUGGGUCAGAAACCCAACGUAGAGUGCAAGAGCAAAAGCUGGCCUGACUGGAUUCCGACCAGCAACGAAUCCAGGGGCGAAAGCCUGGUCUAGCGAGCCAUUCUGUGCCUCUUGAUGGGGCCGAGUGGUGACAGAAAAAUUACCCCAGGGGUAACAGAGUCGUCGCGGGCAAGAGCCCACAUCGACCCCGCGGCUUGCUUCCUCGAUGUCGGCUCUUCCUAUCCUGGCGGUGCAGUAGCCGCCAAGGGUGGGGCUGUACGCCCAUUAAAAGGGAACGUGAGCUGGGUUUAGACCGUCGUGAGACAGGUUGGAUUCUAUCUGCUAGGUCUGUGGGGUGUCUGAGGGGAUGGGCUCCUCAGUACGAGAGGAACGGGAGGCCCUGGCCACUAGUCUACCGGUUGUCCGAUAGGGCACU
rnacentral:rRNA from 1 species